GACGAACGCUGGCGGCGUGCCUAAUACAUGCAAGUCGAGCGAAGUUUUUCUGGUGCUUGCACCGGAAAAACUUAGCGGCGAACGGGCGAGUAACACGUAAAGAACCUGCCUCAUAGACUGGGACAACUAUUGGAAACGAUAGCUAAUACCGGAUAAUAGCAUUAACUGCAUGGUUGAUGUUUAAAAGUUGGUUUUGCUAACACUAUGAGAUGGCUUUGCGGUGCAUUAGCUAGUUGGUGGGGUAAAGGCCUACCAAGGCGACGAUGCAUAGCCGACCUGAGAGGGUGAUCGGCCACACUGGGACUGAGACACGGCCCAGACUCCUACGGGAGGCAGCAGUAGGGAAUCUUCCGCAAUGGGCGAAAGCCUGACGGAGCAACGCCGCGUGAGUGAAGAAGGAUUUCGGUUCGUAAAGCUCUGUUGUUAGGGAAGAAUGAUUGUGUAGUAACUAUACACAGUAGAGACGGUACCUAACCAGAAAGCCACGGCUAACUACGUG
rnacentral:rRNA from 1 species